CGCGUGCGGCGAGCCCCGCCCGCGUCGGAGCCGGGCGCGCGCGACAUCUCCGACCAGCUGCCCUUCCUGGAGUACGAGCUGCACAAGCUGCUGCUGGCCAAGCUCAGGAUGCAGGGCGCGAAUGCAAUCUUCUCGUUGCAAACUCAAAUCGCAAUCGGCGAGCGUUGUGUGAUGGCUUUGGCAAGCGGCACCGCCGUACGACUUGCAGCGCUGCCGGCCCCCACACCGCCCACUAUUAAGGCGUCAGAAAAUGACAAAAACGCGUUGGAGAUUCAACGCGCGUUGUGGGACACAUUCCAAGCUAACCGCACUGCUAAUGGAUAUGAU